AUUGAACGCUGGCGGCAGGCCUAACACAUGCAAGUCGAACGGCAGCACAGUAAUAGCUUGCUCUUACGGCUGGCGAGUGGCGGACGGGUGAUGAAUACAUCGGAAUCUACUUUUUUUUGGGUGAGAACGUAGGGAAUCUUACGCUAAUACCGCAUACGACGUACGGGUGAAAGCAGGGGAUCUUCGGACCUCGCGCGAUUGAAUGAGCCGAUGUCGGAUUAGCUAGUUGGCGGGGUAAAGGCCCACCAAGGCGACGAUCCGUAGCGGGUCUGAGAGGAUGAUCAGCCACACUGGAACUGAGACACGGUCCAGACUCCUACGGGAGGCAGCAGUGGGGAAUAUUGGACAAUGGGCGAAAGCCUGAUCCAGCCAUACCGCGUGGGUGAAGAAGGCCUUCGGAUUGUAAAGCCCUUUUGUUGGGAAAGAAAAGCAGUAGGUUAAUACCCCGCUGUUCUGACGGUGCCCAAAGAAUAAGCACCGGCUAACUUCGUG
rnacentral:rRNA from 1 species